AGGAGCCCGGCGGUCAAUUGGAGCGCAGGCCAGAGGAAUGGAGAGCAGAGAGCAGUCACAGAGUGCCUGGCUGUCGCCCUGCUGGAUUGCAGGGGAGUUUCUUGGCUCCACCCCUGGAAAAGAGUGCAGCGGAGCAAUCUAGAAUGAGGCAAUAAGGCAGCACCGGCAGCGGGGCUUAAUGGCAAAAUGGAGAGGGACUGGCAACCAUGGUGGGGAGAGAGGGAGAGAGGCAGAGAGAGGGAGAGAGAGAACACCAAUCAAACUGCAUCGACUGAAUUCAGACCCCGGCCUCGAUUCAACAUUGCUGGCUCACACUCAGGAUGGGCCGGCGGACCGCACCCUGACUGCGGAAGAUGAGGACUUCCGACGCUACUAUGCAUCAUUGUUUGCUGUCCCCACCACUAGGGGCAGUGUGGGACCCACAAGCAACUCCCCUGUGUCUUGCCUCACCAUAGAAGUGCUGAAUGAGAGUAGCGAGGAGUUACCAGAAACCACUGGUGGUGAACCAACCAUCGACCGCAGCGCAAUGCGUCCUUCCGGGCAAUGUUGCUCCAAUAAAGAAAGUGAAGCAGGCGCCCUGGUCGGCCCCCUGCAGCUUCACUCUUUUACCUCUGGUCGGUCGGGACCUGCAAAGCACUCGUCAGUGUCAGCAGAUUCUACAGAAUACAAAAGUCUUCGUACACAGCUUUCUACAAAACAGUUCUCCUCGUCGCGCGGCCCUACAGGCGCUUAUCCGAGGGCGGCCGAGACGACCACGGAGUCGCCCCGGAGACCCGCCUCAACGUCACCAGGGUCCCCCGUCCCUCCCAGCGCCAGAGUCCACGAAUCACAGGCCCCCGCGCCGUCGUCUCCCACCGCCUCCCUGCGUCUCUCCAGCCGAUCCCUCCCCCCCUGCCCCGCCGCCUCUCCCCUCUGUCCCAACACCCGGGGGUCCCCUCCCCCCACCCACCUCUCCCUUCGCUCCACCUUCACUCUGACGCCGUUGACCUCCGUCGACGUAGCUCUUCUUCCCGAGGUUGACCCGGAGACUCUUCCCCCGGCGGCGGCGGGCGUAGAGGGGCCGGCGUCCCGGGCCGCCUCGUCCCUCAGAGGGUCCGCGGACUCGGCCCUCUCACCCGGGCGAUGGCGCUCCACGCACCCCCUGCCCCCUGUCCCCCCGGUUUCAUCCGAUCCAGAGGAGCGCCCCCCCACCGUCACCUCACCGCCAACCGGGGGGCCUCCCUCCCACCUCCCUUCUUCCCCCGAGGUACAAACCCCCAGCCCCAGUCCUCCGAAGCGGUCAUCGCCCUCACCCGUCCCGCCCAGCGGCCUCACAGACCAGGGAGGCAGGCCAGUCGGCCAGGGGGGCCGGAGGUCAGGCGGCUCGUCCGUGAACCACCCGCCCGCUCCGGCUCCUUUCACACCGGGGACCGCUGCUGAACCCUGGCGGGUCCGCGCGUCCACACCUGAUCCAGAGGAUCCGUUGGUUUCCCGUCCCUCUGAACUCGCGCGCGGGGGCCGAGGUUCGAGCCUUCCAUCCUAUCCAGAUCUACACUGUUUCCAGGACGAUCCCCCGAGCCGUGAUAAUGGCAGACCCGGAGGCUUCAUCCAAACAGACGAGGAGACAUCUGGAACUGGAGACGCCGAGGAUGACAUGUCUAUCGACAGCCUGGGACUGACGCUGCAUGACGGAGCCUCCUCCGAUGAAGACGAGUUGGAGGAGGACGGUGGGGGGUCAGGCGAGUGGCGGUGGAGGGAUGAGGACCUCGUCCGCGCCUCUAACGCAACAUCAGAAGGUUCCCUGGUUCCUGAGGGCUCUGGAUCAGAACAAGAGCCAGACGCAGAGACAGGCGAGGCCGGGUUCCAGUCAAAGCCGUCCAGGGCGCUGCAAGCCUUGGCCCAGAGAGCUUCCUCUGGUCAGGAGCGGCGUGGCGGCGGCCUGGAUGGGUUCCUGACUCUGGGUUUGGACCUCCAGUCCACCAGCUACGGCGGUCCUCCGGAACACACAGAGCCCAACGAGGAGAACCAGCGGGACCCAAUGCAGCCGCCGGGCCCAGACACAUUCCACCCAGGGGCAGUGAGCUGGAGGCCCAGUAGUAGUCUGCGAGCCCGUGCCCAGGAACACCUGGUUAGCACCGUGAUGAAGGACAGCCAGAGUCGGCCAACCGGUGUUCAGCAUCGCUCUGCCCCGCCCACUGUGAGAAGAGACAUUUCUACUUACAAGCCAGGAUUAUCAGGAUCACCACGGUACCCCCUCUCUGCUCGGUCCACCUCGGCCCGGCGCCCCGCUCCGGCAGAGGAACUCUCCCCCCUCCUCUCUCUCUCCCGCCUCCCUCCCCCCUCCCUCUCUGGCCCGUGCUCCGGGGGCGUGUCCUUGCGGCCCGUGUCCCGCGCCGCCCAGGAGAUCCAGGACAUCAGCGGUGUGGACCGGGCGAGCGGAGAGGACCCCAGGGAGGACGCGGACGCGGAGGCCCUGACCCGCCUGGAGGAGGAGCUCAGACUCAUGGUCCAUGAUACAAGCGCUCGGCCCGCGUUAAUAAGGAGCGCAGGCCACGGAGCACAAGGCCAGCGGAGGACUAAAGAUCUGACAUGGGGCGGAGUCAGUGAGGAGCAGAAACAGGAGGAAGAGGAAGUGGCGAGAGAUCACCAGAGUGUCUUGUCACUGCCUUGAAGCACGCCGAGUCAGAUAUGGAUGAACCGGCAUGUGGAUGUAUGCAUGUGGGUGUAUGCAUGUGCACACACACACAGUCACACACAGUCACACACACACACACACACACACACACACACACACACACGCACACGCACACGCACACACACACCUGUCAUUUUUGGGGACUACUUUAAACAACAUAUAGAUAGACUAAUUUGCAUUUAUUUUCGAAACCUUCACUGUCAUGUAGAUAAGUGAGGCUACUGACUGUGCCUUGUAUUCUGUCUAGUCAGCCCUGGCAAUAAGCUAUUAGCUCUUACCAUUGGCUAUUUAAAAAAAAAUCAGGAAACGGGUGAGACAUUGUGACAUGACUAAGCAUUAAAGAAUCCAAUCUGAUGACGUUUCCCUUGCAUUUAUGUGUUUUUGUGUGUGUGUCUGUGUCUGUGUGAGAGCAUGCCCCAAUGAAAACCCCCAGGUGUGGAGCAGUGGACACAUUUAAUUAUGAGUGUUUCCUAUCCCUUCCCCAGUGUGUAUAUUCACCAGGUUAGAGUACCAGGGGUUCGGUUCAAAGGCGGACAUACUACUACUGCCUCCCUGUCUGCUUCUUUCACAAACGCACACAUAAAAGGUUUCUGCAGGUGAUAAAUUUAGUUUGUGCGGGGAGCAGAAAAUAGGUGCUGUGCCAAAGGACACGGUUGCCAUUACUUUAUGCGUGUGUGUGUGUGUGUGUGUAGGUGUGUAUGUGUGUGUGUCUUUGUGUGUGUGUGUGUGUGUGUGUCUGCCAUACGAGGUAGAAAAAGAUAAACCAGCGGCACAGGAUCUGGGUUUGUUGUCUCUGUGGUGUGUGUGUGUGAGUGAGAGAGAGAAACUGGCUUUGGGUACAUAUUUAUCUUCCUCUCUCUCAUCGCCAUGCUGUUUUGCAUGGCUCCUCACAGCCAGCACUAAUCUAUCAC
ensembl:lncRNA